AAGUCAACAAAAAUAUUCCUUGCAAGGUUUUGCAACAGGUUUCAAUGGCUUAAAGAAGAAAAUAAUAUUUAAACUAGGAAAGAAAAAUCAUCUAAUUGCAAUUGCAUAUUUGAGCUGCAAUUUAAAAAAAUCAAAACGCCUCUCUCAACUCUGAAGCUUUUGAUGAACCCCUUUUAGGAAGAACACAUAGCAUUUUACUCUUUCUUCCUCCUUUAAUAAAAGCUUUCUCAAGAUACUUAAUCUCGGGGCAAAGAGAAUUUGAUCAUAGGGGGGCAGUGUCGAUGGCGGAUGCUAAUAAUAACCCAGCAAGCAAUGUGGCUGUGCUACUGCCCUUGCGUGGAGUUCAACUCCUGAAGCUCGCAAAGCCGCCGUCUCUUACCUUGAAUCUGCCAAAAGGUGGUAAAUUUGCUAAAAAGGCACCCGGGAAAUCUUGAUGUGGUGAUAAAGUUCGAUGUUUUAAUCUCGUAGGAUAUUUGAGCUGUCAAAAAUUGGGAAAGUUCGUGCACUCUUUUGUGGCUGUGAUUUGACUUACUUCUCAGGUAUUAUUGUUUAUUUAAGAAAUGGGUAAUGCGAUGUUAUUCUCCUUUCUAUUGUGAGAAUUUAUUGAGUUUUAGGCCUUAGGAAAAAAAAAAAAAAGAAAGGAAGAAAGAAAAUUUGGUUUCUGUGAAUCCAGGUAUUGUGAUGUUAUUCUACUUUCUAUUGUGAAAACUCAUAAAUUCAGGUAUAAUAUGCUGGGCCUGUCAGCAACCAUUGGAGAAUCAAUUUUAAAUCUUUGGACUUCCAUUCUGUUGCAAUGGCACUGAUGGAGAAUGUACUGUCAAUGGAAUUCAGGCAUAUAAGGCAACUUGUUCAUUCUGUUUUAAUACAUUUGGUUAAAUAUUGCCCUAUUGAUCUGUGGGAGGCCUGGCUGGAAAAGUUGCUGCACCUGUUAUUUGUCCACUGUCAACAAGCUUUUAGCUGCUCUUGGUCCAGCUUUAUGCAUGAAGGUAGAGCAAUGGUUCCAUAUCUCCAUGGGAUUGUUGCUGGAUCUGACUUAAAAGUGGAAGUAAUUGAGGAGAAACGACUUUGUGAUCUGACUAGUGAGAUAUGUUCACUUCUGUCUAUAAUGGCCUCUUCAGGACUAAAUGCUGGGCUUCCUGCUUAAAGCAUUCAGGGCAAUUCACCCAUGUUGACAUGUCUGUGAAAGAUUGGAUUCUUUUGCAUCAAGCUCUAUGAUUGGGUUCCUUUUGAAGCACAAAGAACUUGCCCUUCCAGCGUUCAGAUUUCCAAACAAGCUUUCACAUGGACAGAGGGUGAAGCUGUGACAAAAGUCUCUUCCUUCUCUGCUGCUGUGAUUGUCGUGGCUGUAUCACCAAAUAAUGAGGAGCUUCGAAAGUUUGUUUCAAAAGAUCUGUUUUCUGCAGCUAUUCAAGGUUUUGACCCUUGAGUCAAAUGCUGUUAUCAGCACUGAUCUGGUUGGUCUCUGUCAAUAAAUAAUCGUCUGUUUGUGCGGUAGGGAUCCAGCCCUAGGCAGUCCAGGUUCUACUCUCUCUUCCAUGCAUUUCCCCACAAGAUUUGCCUGCUUUUGAAGAUGCCUUCGCAAAGACACCUAGCCGAAAGGAACAAAAACAACAUAUGAAGAGCUUGCUUUUGUUAGGUACUGCAAACCAGUUAAAAGCACUUGCUUCUCAGAAAAGUGUUAAUGUUAUCACAAACAUUUCAGAGGAAGGGCAUGCAGCUCAUUCAAUGUUACGGAAACUCAAAUUGAAGAGGCGGAAACUGUGAGAUUGUCAGCCAUUUUGUGAAGGAUUCUUAUAAUUUGGCAGUUCUACAGAGAUGAAUUACACAGUUAUUUGACAGAUAUACUGAGGUAAAAGACAUCCUUUUUAUUUUAGCCAUAGCUCUGCCGGGGUUGUGCAACCAGUUCAUCCUCUUAGACUACUUCAAAAUGCAGUUUUGAGUAAAUAUAUAGAAUCAUUAUACCCUUUACAUUUGUCAUCUUGGAAAUGAGGUUUUUACAUGAUUAUGUCGUAUCCCUUGUCUCUCAUUGGCAGUUCUUGCACACAUUUUGUUGCUUUUGAAAUUCUCCUUUCAAGUUUCCCCUUGCGAACUCCAGCAAAGAAAGUUCAAACUUUUAUUUGGGGUAAAAUCUAGAGGACGUCAAAUUUAUAAGGUGAAAUUCUCCACUCUAUACAGGUUCAAACAAUCCACAACAGCUUGUGAGUUCCAGAAGUCAUCUGCAGAUCCAGUCCAGUAGCAGAUGAAUUUGAUUUGAUUUGAUUAUAGUGAUAUUAGUUUCAUUUAUUGCAUAUCCACUCUUUAAUUUCAAUUCAAAUGUGAUCAAGCCUUUAAAUUUGAUGCAUUUAGAAGUUGAGAGCAGCCCUGAAUGGUAGACACUGGAGAAGACUAGCAGGUGGAAAGUGUUUAAUGGUAAUACUUUGUUGAGGAUUAGGAACAAUGUGACAAACUUGGUGGAUGCUUCUGGGUUAAGCAAAAACUUUCCAUUUAUGGGGCCCCGUGCCGUUCUUAAAGCAGUAAUUUUCUGUGUGUUGUGACUUGUGAGGGGCUUUGAGAGUUGAGUGUUGUGUUAAUUGUGUUUGUGGGUGUGUUUAAAGAAAGCCAGCAAGCAAUGCGAGCAGGAGGAGCGGUGGCUUUUGUGACAUUAGCAUAUCGGUUUGAUUUGUUAUAGUAGCAUCUCAAGAGUCACAGCUUGAGUGAUGUUUGUGGUAUUAAUAUAUAUUAUCUUAAUAACAAUUUAUUGAAGGUUGAAAUGA